AUAUUGGUCAAUGGGCGCGAGCCUGAACCAGCCAAGUCGCGUGAGGGAUGACGGCCCUACGGGUUGUAAACCUCUUUUGUCGGGGAGGAAAUUCCGUUACGCGUAACGGAGUCGAGCGUACCAGAAGAAAAAGAAUCGGCUAACUCCGUGCCAGCAGCCGCGGUAAUACGGAGGAUGCGAGCGUUAUCCGGAUUUAUUGGGUUUAAAGGGUGCGCAGGCGGCCUGUUAAGUCAGCGGUAAAAGCCCGGGGCUCAACCCCGGCGAGCCGUUGAAACUGGCGGGCUGGAGUUGGAGAGAAGUACGCGGAAUGCGCGGUGUAGCGGUGAAAUGCUUAGAUAUCGCGCAGAACCCCGAUUGCGAAGGCAGCGUACCGGCUCCACAUUGACGCUGAGGCACGAAAGCGUGGGUAUCG
rnacentral:rRNA from 1 species